rnacentral:snRNA from 1 species
CAUCCCAUUAAUCACCAGGGUUGAUUUGGCUGAUCUGAAUGGCUAGGAGGAUGUCCCCUUCCUUCUUUACUGCUGCACUUGCAAUGCAGAAAUACUCAAACCCUACAAACCCAUGUGUGGUUGGAGUUAAUGUGC